AAUAAUAUAGUUACGAUUAUAUACUAGUCACAAAUUACAGAAGGUCACAAAAAUAUAAUUUGUUGGUCACAAUUAAAUAUUAGUCACAAAUCACAUAUUUUAUUAGGCCCCAAAUUAUUUAUUAGUUACAAAUUAUCUAAUAAUCUAUUACAAUAAUUCUUCAUCUCACCCACACAUUUCACAGUCAUCAAUGUCACUCGAAUUGUCGUCGUCGCCACUACGCCAAAUCCAUAAUCCCGCACCACCACCACUUGUACCACGAAUCCACCACUAUCACUACCUCAAAUCCACAAUCCUCUACUACCACCACCUACACCACAAAUCCACCACCACCAUCAUUACUACCCAUGUAAACAGUUAAAAACAUCAGCUUCAACACAGCUCAAAUCCACCACCACCUCUACAUUCAAACCUCGAUCACAUUCACCGUCAACAAACCUCAAAUCUACCAUUGGACUACAAUAAACUACUGACGUAGAAGCACAAACACAGUACAACCAGAAGCAUAUUCUAGACUAAUUUAUGAAGAUACAUGGUUGGAGUAGUGAUGAAUUGAGGGUGGCGACCCCACGGCAGGAUUCAAGAUUUUUAGUUCGUGAAUUCAGACGUCUUUUUUGCAAAUUUUGGGCCUUAAUGUGAGGAUUGUGUUUAAGAGGUGAUUGCAUUAACGGUAAGUGGUGGCAGCAGCAAUGGCAACCUACAACAUUCUUGGGGGUGAAAAUAGUGGUUAAGAUUAGGGUUAGGGGUGAAAAUGGAGAUGUAGUGGGUGUGGAAUGAGGUAGGAUGGUGGCUAGACACUUGAGUUUUGAAAGAAAAAU
rnacentral:lncRNA from 1 species